rnacentral:rRNA from 1 species
UACAGAGGUCUCAAGCGUUUGUUCGGAUUCAUUGGGCGUAAAGGGUGCGUAGGCGGCGUGGUAAGUCGGAUGUGAAAUCUCGGAGCUUAACUCCGAAACUGCAUUCGAUACUGCCGUGCUUGAGGACUGGAGAGGAGACUGGAAUUUACGGUGUAGCGGUGAAAUGCGUAGAUAUCGUAAGGAAGACCAGUGGCGAAGGCGGGAUCCUGGGCCAGUACUGACGCUGAGGAGCGAAAGCGUGGGGAGUAAACAGG